rnacentral:rRNA from 1 species
GAUGGACGCUGGCGGCGUGCUUAACACAUGCAAGUCGAACGAAGCACUUUAACCUGAUUCUUCGGAUGAAGGUUUUUGUGACUGAGUGGCGGACGGGUGAGUAACGCGUGGGUAACCUGCCUCAUACAGGGGGAUAACAGUUAGAAAUGACUGCUAAUACCGCAUAAGACCACAGAGCCGCAUGGCUCGGUGGGAAAAACUCCGGUGGUAUGAGAUGGACCCGCGUCUGAUUAGGUAGUUGGUGGGGUAACGGCCUACCAAGCCAACGAUCAGUAGCCGACCUGAGAGGGUGACCGGCCACAUUGGGACUGAGACACGGCCCAAACUCCUACGGGAGGCAGCAGUGGGGAAUAUUGCACAAUGGGGGAAACCCUGAUGCAGCGACGCCGCGUGAGCGAAGAAGUAUUUCGGUAUGUAAAGCUCUAUCAGCAGGGAAGAAAAUGACGGUACCUGACUAAGAAGCACCGGCUAAAUACGUG